UACGUAGGUGGCGAGCGUUGUCCGGAUUUACUGGGCGUAAAGGGCGUGCAGGCGGUUUGUUAAGUGCAGAGUGAAAGCUCCCGGCUCAACUGGGAGAGGUCUUUGCAUACUGGCAAACUCGAGGGAGGCAGAGGAAAGUGGAAUUCCCGGUGUAGUGGUGAUAUGCGUAGAUAUCGGGAGGAACACCUGUGGCGAAGGCGGCUUUCUGGGCUGAAACUGACGCUGAGGCGGCGAAGGCUAGGGGAGCAAACAGG
rnacentral:rRNA from 1 species